rnacentral:rRNA from 1 species
GGCGCACGGGUGCGUAACGCGUAUGGAACUUGCCCAUCUCAGGGGGAUAGCCCGUGGAAACAUGGAUUAAUACCCCAUAAAGCAGGGAGCCCGCAUGGGCAUAUUGCUAAAGGAUUCGUCCGGAGAUGGAUAGCCAUGCGUGCCAUUAGCUAGGUGGGGGCGGGUAACGGGGGCACCAAGGCAUCGAUGGCUAGGGGGGUCUGAGAGGAUGAUCCCCCACACUGGCACUGAGACACGGGCCAAACUCCUACGGGAGGCAGCAGUAGGAAUUUUGGGGCAAUGGGCGGAAGCCUGACCCGCCCUGCCGCGUG